UAGAAAUUUUGGCAACUCGGAUUGGUUCCUGGCUGACACCGCUGCCAGCCCUGCUGGUGUCCCUUGACCACAUGGGGGAGGGAGGUGAUCCCCAAGGGCCGGAGGUCAGCGUGUGGGAGGGACCUGCUCAGCUCAAGCCAGAGGUCGGUGCGCGGGAGGGAUCUGCUUUGGCCAAGUCUGACGUCGCCAUGCCAUCCGGUCCAGAGGCCAUAUGGACGUGCCUAGUCUUUUCCAGAGGCCAGGGCGCUGUCAGGACCUCCCCGGCCUAAGUCGGCGAUGGGGUGCUCCCAGAUGCUCCACGGUUCUGAACCACGCAUCCUUUUUCAUUUUGGGUUUACAUCUUUGUUUUCUGGGUUUCACUCCAUGCCUCAUCUGUCUACCUUCCUGCUGUCCCUCGGCCUCGGAACCAAAGGAACUCAGGUCAGCCAAAUCCACAUCAUCAAACUCACCUGGACCCACGCUUCAAUGCAUCCAUUUCUCUCCUGCAAAGUAAGACAAAAGAAUUAUUACACUGACUUUCUCUGGAACACCCCUCUGGCUAAGAUCUAAUUUAGUUUUCCUCUCUCCCAAGUGUGACCAUACGUACUAGUCCCGCUCUGGU
ensembl:lncRNA